rnacentral:rRNA from 1 species
AGCAGUCGCCGCGGUAAUACGGAGGGUGCAAGCGUUAAUCGGAAUUACUGGGCGUAAAGCGCACGCAGGCGGUUUGUUAAGUCAGAUGUGAAAUCCCCGAGCUUAACUUGGGAACUGCAUUUGAAACUGGCAAGCUAGAGUCUUGUAGAGGGGGGUAGAAUUCCAGGUGUAGCGGUGAAAUGCGUAGAGAUCUGGAGGAAUACCGGUGGCGAAGGCGGCCCCCUGGACAAAGACUGACGCUCAGGUGCGAAAGCGUGGGGAGCGAACAGGAUUAGAUACCCGUGUAGUCCCUGUCUCUUAUAC